CGUGUUAUCUGUACUCCUAACGUGUAACUUGAUCGCCUUUUACUAUCGAGUUCCGGGAGCUCAGAAAGCAAAUUCUGUAUCUUUUUCUGAACCCAGCUGCUAAGGCGGCUGGGU